rnacentral:lncRNA from 1 species
AAAUAAAAGACUCCCCCAAAUAAUUCCCUUUUCACAUCUUCAAAUUUCUUCCAUUUAUAUUUUUCAUUGUCAGUUUCCAGUGCAGCUUAACUCUGAGUGUGCUGAAGCUUGAAAUGUAGCUUCCGAUUUAUAAUAGCGACAGGACAUGCAGCAAAUGUCAACAAAUCCCCUGUCACCCAGGCAAGGAGGAAAUGUGAGAGCAGGAAGAUAUAAAGUUGUUGCUGACUUUGUAUUCUGCUGUACCACAACAUUGGAUAGAGGGAAGGAAAGCAAAUGUGCAGAGUUGCCAGGAGACAGAUUUAUUCUGAACUUCAGCACCAUGGAACUUCCACUGUGACACUCCUCCCUUCUUCCUUCAUACCCUCACUCCAGGCAUGAGGCAGAUAGACCAAGUAUUGCAGGAAAUGACCAGCUCCUGCUUUGUACUAAAGCAUUCAGUUCUGUUUAAUUCUGGGCAUUCACAUACCCACAAAAAAAGUGUGAAUAUUUUCAAAGAAUGGCUGUGAAAUGGAUGCAACAUGGAAAAUUCAAGUGGCAAAUCUGCCUAGAAGCAUCUGAUCAUUCUUUUCCUGCUUUCCUGCUUCCAAAUGCCUAUUUCUUCUUUGUGUUUAAAAGUAGCACUUGGAAAGAGGGAAAAUAAAUCAAUCUGUUAAUCUGUUUUUCUUGUGAAA